AAGUAAAUUUUAGAGUUGCAUCAAUAAAUCAGGACAUGGACAUUCAAAAUAACAAUUUUUCCCUCAUCGAGUUGCAGGAUCCACAGGGGAACCGCCUCGCUCAAUGGAAAGACGUUGCUCCAAAGUCUGGCAUAGCAGAGAUGUCCUACCAGCUGGCGAAAGAACCUAAUUUUGGAAAAUAUACACUAAGGGUUAAUGGUGUUACAAGGGAGAUUGAA